AAAAAACUGAUUCUUUUGAAGCUUCCGCCAUACUCAUGUAUUCCGCUUCAGUGGAUGAUAGAGCAACCGUCGACUGUUUUUUGCUGCACCAUGAAAUUGGAGCAUUGCCAAACUUAAAUAGAUAUCCAGUGUAGGAUUUACGAUCAAUGGGGCAAUUAGCAUAAUUAGCAUCGGCAUAGGCGAUGAUAGGCAUACCAGUUUUCUUAUAGACAAGGCUGAGAUCUGAAGUCCCUUUUAAAUAGCGUAAUAUCCGUUUUGCACCUUGCCAGUGAAUUGGCUGAGGACAGCUGUUGAAUUGACUGAGAAGGCUUACAAUAUGAGCUAUAUCGGGGCGAGAACCUACAACUAGGUACAUAGUGCUCCAAUUAGGUUUUGAUAGGGUAUAUUAGUCAUGUCGACCAUUUCUGUUUGUGAUUCAUUUUUGUCUUGCUGUUGAGGUUUUUUCCCGUCAUUAUUAAUGGACAUUAAAGGCGUACAGUGCUGUCUGAUAAGCUCAACCGUGCGGUCGCAUGCGGUUCAGCGCUCUCCGUUAUCAACUGUGAUAAUCUCUCGUGCCAAGUGUCUCUGCUGCCGUGGCAGCUUGUGCUUUUACGAAAUACUAACCUACAAAACAAAAAUCGGUAAAAAUUGAACUUUUCUCUUACUACCCCUGCAAUGGCAGGGGUAGAACAAAAUAUUACCACACCCACAAGUGGUAAAAAACCGCCAGAUAAAAACACUCUAAUCGGACAAGUGCUUUCGGUUGAUCUAAAUCCAACUUUAAAUGACACUCGUGUUUCUGAUCAAGUUAAAUCUUUUAUGGCGCAUUCACAGAAUCUGGUUAAAACGUUAAACGACGAAAACAAAGUGCUAGAAAACAAACUAAGUGCAGUUUCUGGCGAAAACAAAGUGCUGGAAAACAAACUAAGUGCAGUUACUAGUAAGUUAAUAUCGCAAGAUGAAAUUAUCGCGUCUCUCCAAACGCAAAUAAAUGAAGUGAAACAACAAAAAACAGGUAAUUCACAACCUACACCUAAAGAUAUUAACCCGAAAUUUGUUAAGGAAGUAACGAAAUCGAGCAAACCUUCUGGACAAUCGAAAAUUACUCAGUUCACCAAAGAUGGUUCUAAGAACCCAUCUUCAAGCAGCUCUAAUCAAACUGCGGAUACUAAACUGAUUGCAACUAGCAAUAAAUUUGUCACUCUUCAACAUGAGGAUAUGGAAAUUGCAACACUAGAGGAUGAUGAUGCUCCCGCCGAUGAUGCCUCUCUUUCGGAGGAUGCCGAGUUCUCGAGAUCAGAUCCCGAGUUUCGAGCCAAACGUCUAAUCUACAGGCAACAGCGCAAAAAGAGGAAACGAGGAAACUCCAGCCCACAGGAUGAAACUUCGAAGGAAAAUAACUCUAAGGAACCUAAGGAUAAGUUAAAUAAUAAUUCUAAUACUAAGUCUAGUGUUAAGGUUACAAAGAUUCUCCCCCCUCCACCAAUUAAAGUGGUGGGAAUUAAAUCUUUCGAGGAAAUUAAGUCCUUACUAAAGGAAGCCUCCCCAGAGGAGGAGUUUACUAUUCGUUUUCUAAAUAAUGAAACCUGGAAGGUGAAUCCUUCUUCUGAUGAAGCUUACAGGAAAAUUUCCGAAAAAUUAAAAGUAAAUAAUACCCAAUGGUAUUCUCAUAGUAACAAGAAUACAAGGAACAUUAAGGUUCUCUGCAAAGGUUUACCUCCUUCUAUCUCAGAAGAAGAAAUUGUUGAGGAUCUUCAAGCCAAGAACUUUAAAAUUAAAUCUGCAGUUUGUCUUAGAAAAAGAGUAGAAAAAGAAAUACAAAAAAAUAAAAAUAAAAACCCGGAAAAUACCCAGGCAGAUCAAAUUUCAAAUCCCCCCCCUCCUUCUAAAAAGGAAAUUAAGGAGUAUGAGCUGAUCAAAAUCCCGGUACAUCAGCUGGAUUUCGAUCAUACAGAAUCUGUAGAAAAUAUUUUUAAAAUUAAAUCAAUUGCUCACACAAUUGUGAAAAUUGAACAGAUUAAAACUGAUCCUCUAAUAGUCCCUCAAUGUAGACGCUGUUGUGGCUGGUCGCACACAGCAAACUAUUGUUUUAAGGCACCACGAUGUGUAAAAUGCUCGGGUGAGCAUUUUUCCCAUUUAUGCCCUUUUCCUGGUCGUAUUCAAAACCCCAAAUGUGUCAAUUGCGGAGCAACAGGGCACCCAGCCAGCUAUCGUGGCUGCCCGUUUGCCAAGGAGUUUCAGCUAGCGAGGAAAAACCAAUUAAAAGCUAAAAAAUCCCCCCCUCAAACAGGGAAAAAUUUCCCUAAGUUAAAUAAAAAGGAUGCCCCUACGGCAAAUAAGCCAAAACCUCUUGAAAAAUCUUUUGCCCAAGCUGUGUCUGAUAACAGAGUAUCUGAUUCUUCAAAUCAGACUGAUAUUAUAAACACUUUGCUCAAAACUAUUGAAUCAUUAAAUACUCAGAUUCAAUUGCUUAACGAAAAAAUUAGUCGCUUAGAAGCAAAAAAAUGAUUCAUCUUUUUCUAUGUGUAACUCCGAUAAUGAAAAUGUCUUUUUGUCUCACACUAACAAUGACUCAUUACUUGUUUCAGAACAGAAUGAUAAGAUUAUUGAUUUCGAUGAUGUAACUCGAAUGCAAUCGCGCUCGAGCAAUAACAGAUCACUAAACCUUAUGGCUUGGAACUGUGGCGGCCUGUCCCGGGUGAAGGCCGAGGAAUUCAAUGUCACGCUAAGGGAUUUCAAUGUGGAUAUAGCCCUCCUGUCGGAGACCUGGUUCACUAAGAAUGAUUUUAAAAGGAUCAAGGAAGCAUGCUGACAGAAUGGCAUUAGACAACAGGGGGCGUGAGUGCGACACCUUCGUCGCCGUCGCCUGGUGGAAAAGGAAAUGACAGGCAGGAUCGGAGUUGGAUCCGCACGCGUGCCCUUCGCUUUGGCGCUCUGCAUGCUCUUCACGCCCUGCAACUGGAGUCACGCAAAGCAACAAGUCACGCUCGCCCACGGUACCGUGUUCCUCGACUCUGCGGACGCCUUCAGCGUAUUAGAUAUCACCACCGCCGAAACAAGUUCGUCCUACUAUUCUAUGUCAAUUUUCAUGAUUUCUCCGGCCUUCGACAGGAGAUAGUACCGAUGUGAGCCCGCUCUAUUCAAACCUACAUUAGAAAUAGGCAUGACCCUGUUUUUCGAUACGAUACAGUUGUGAAUUUUUCCAUUUAAUGAAUGUAAAUUUUCAUUUUUUAUUAAAGUUGAUUUGAAAGAUCUACGGGACCGAUUUUCAUGAUUUCGUCGGCUAUAUGAUAGUAGAAUGAGAAAUGGCAAUCCCUUGAGAGCAAAAAUUAAUACGUCUUAUAUCAGCUGAGUUCUUUUUAGAUUUUCCAUAACCUCUGGUGCACUAUAUUAUUAAAUAAACAUGCUCGGCAUUUGAAUUAAUCUCUUUCCAAAUAUCCAUUUAUGCCUACGGAAUGUUCCGAGGUACCCGCUCUAUUUGGAUCAAUAACUCACGGAGGCCCGGAAAGCGGGCGUUAGAGAACGCGAGGGCGCCUAGUGAGGGUCACAGAAGAUUGGGCUGCGUAACGGCCAGGGGACGUACCGAACCCCUUCGUAUAUUAUUAUGUGAAUUGACGUGAAAAAAAACAUAAUGCCUCAGUAAAUAUAAACUGUGAAAAGUUAAUUAUUUAUUUCUCAAUCACGCCUCCAAAAAGCAAAACAUUUCUUCUUUCUACCAGAAAAAAUGACUAAUAAACGCCAAUUUGUCGAUUUUACGUAGUAUUCAUGUAGUAUCCUACAUCCAUCCGAAUGCCAGCACUGAAAAAAAAAAAAAAAAAAAAAAAAAAAAAAAAAA